rnacentral:rRNA from 1 species
UACGGGGGGGGCAAGCGUUGUUCGGAAUUACUGGGCGUAAAGGGCGCGUAGGCGGUUGGAUAAGUCAGCUGUGAAAACCACGGGCUUAACUCGUGGCCUGCAGUUGAGACUGUCUGGCUUGAGUGUGGGAGAGGAGAGUGGAAUUCCUGGUGUAGCGGUGAAAUGCGUAGAUAUCAGGAGGAACACCGGUGGCGAAGGCGGCGUCCUGGACCAAUACUGACACUGAAACGCGAAAGCCAGGGGAGCAAACGGG